rnacentral:rRNA from 1 species
GGAGUUAGCCGGUGCUUCUUCUGCGAGUAACGUCACAGAUGUAAGGUAUUAACUUACACCCUUUCCUCCUCGCUGAAAGUGCUUUGCAACCCGAAGGCCUUCUUCACACACGCGGCAUGGCUGCAUCAGGGUUUCCCCCAUUGUGCAAUAUUCCCCACUGCUGCCUCCCGUAGGAGUCUGGGCCGUGUCUCAGUCCCAGUGUGGCUGAUCAUCCUCUCAGACCAGCUAGGGAUCGUCGCCUAGGUGAGCCUUUACCUCACCUACUAGCUAAUCCCACCUGGGCUUAUCCAUCAGCGCAAGGCCCGAAGGUCCCCUGCUUUCCCCCGUAGGGCGUAUGCGGUAUUAGCAGUCGUUUCCAACUGUUAUCCCCCACAAAUGGGCAAAUUCCCAGGCAUUACUCACCCGUCCGCCGCUCGUCAUCUUCAAAAGCAAGCUUUUGAAAUGUUACCGCUCGACUUGCAUGUGUUAGGCCUGCCGCCAGCGUUCAAUCUGAGCCAGAAUCAAACUCUGA